rnacentral:rRNA from 3 species
UCGUAGUGACCUGCGGAAGGAUCAUUA